GUUUAGUCGACCUCAGUUCAGAGCAGCAGCAGAUGUUGCAUCGAUAAGCUGCUCAGAUGGAUGCAGUGAGAGUCGGCCUUUUACUGCUACUGCCAUGUGUUGUGUGCUUUUUGGAUGCUGAAGAAACUCUUGUGAAAACAAUCUGGAAAGAAUCUGAUUUCACUCCAAUCUGCACCAACGAAACAUCAAAUAUCAUCACAUUGAUUGUGUGUAGGAUCAGAACAGAGAAUAACGGCAAAGAGGGAUGCAGUUUGCGGUACAAGGACGGAGGUGACUUUGUUCAUGAGUGUGACUCCAGGUUCUCACUAAAAACCAGGAAUCAAACUGUGUUUCUGCACCUGACCAGUUUAACAGCAGCUGAUAGUGGGAACUAUUCCUGUCAGUGUUCUAAUCAAGAUGGAACAUUUAUUUUCCAUCUCAACAUCACAGUAAAUGGUGAGCCACUUCUAUAUUCCUUCUAUCAAACUUACAGUAACUAUUUAUUCUCAAACAAUGUUUGCUUUAUUUCCAAUAGACUCAUUUCCUAAUAAUAAUAAUAAUAACUCUGAUGAAGUUUGGAGCCAGUCUGUAGGAGUGACUCUUCCUUCUGCUUUGACUGCUGCAGUUCUCUUAAUUUUCAUAGUUUCAGUUAUUCUGGGAUUUAUUCACAGAAGACAUCAACAUCGAGGGCAACCAGAAUCAUGCAGACAUAAUCUAGAGGAGGACUUGACUGAAAUUGAGCCGUACAGCUCCUACACUCAGAAGGAAAAUUCGCUUUAUUCAACAGGCAUAUUGCACAGCUGUCAAAUUAAUUCUGACUAUUCAAAUAUUUUCACUUGAACAGACAACUUUGCCUUCACUGCCCUUGGCUGUCGUUUAAUUUGUGUUUAUGGUAAUUUCCUUGUGGUUUAUUUAUGUUCAAUACAUCUUGCCAUACUCAGUAAAUUUCCUUGUAUUCAUUAAUGUUUGAAUGUUGUUGCCAUAUAAGCUAAUUCCUUUGUGUUUCGUUUUUUGUUGUGUUCUGUUAUUUGUGCAAUUGGAUUUAGUUCUCUGAGAUCACUGUUGAUCUUUUCCACUUGAUUUGUAGUUUAUCUCAGUUGUAGUUUCUGUUCCCGGACUUCCUCUCUCAGUUUCUCUGUUUUCUGCUUGCCUCAGCUGUACAACAACAACUUUGAUUGGUUCAUCUGGUUCAUCUGUCAUUUUCCACUGCCGCAGUAUAAAAGCUCGCUGGUUCUCACUGCUGGACUCUUCAGUUACACUUCUCUUUCUCGUCCAUCAGUUCCUUUCUCUUUUAUAGGGAUCUGUAAUUUUAUUUCAUUUUUUUCCCACCAUUAAAAACUCUCAACUCAGCAACUAGAACAUUUUGUUCAACUUAAUGUUAGAUGAUGGCAAAAAUCUUUUUUAUUGUGUUCUUUAAUAAAGCAGAAGUAAAUAUCUGUUUUAACUACAUUGAGUUUUAUGAUGAGUGAACUACUGUCUGAUGUCCACCAGGUGGCUCUCUUGCCUUAUUUCAAGUUUUUAAUUCGUCCACUGGAAUGGACAUGAUAUUUUUCUCGGAUUAAACCAAUAAAAGGA